UGGUCAAGUUAUUAAGGGUGCAGGGCGGAUGCCUUGGCACUAGGAGCCGAUGAAGGACGUGAUAAGCUGCGAUAAGCUUCGGGGAGUUGCACGUAAACUUUGAUCCGAAGAUUUCCGAAUGAGGAAACUCACUUAGAGUAAUGUCUAAGUAUCAUUAAGUGAAUACAUAGCUUAAUGAGGGGAACUCAGGGAACUGAAACAUCUAAGUACCUGAAGGAAGAGAAAGAAAUUCGAUUCCGUAAGUAGCGGCGAGCGAACGCGGAUUAGCCCAAACCAAUAAAGUUUUCUUUAUUGGGGUUGCGGACAUAUCAUAACGAAGAGGUAUCGUAAUUGAAGAGGUUUGGAAAGACCCACCACAGAAGGUAAUAGUCCUGUAUGUUAAACGAGAAGAC
rnacentral:rRNA from 1 species